rnacentral:rRNA from 1 species
GCGCAGCAGUCGCGAAACCUUCGCAAUGCGGGAAACCGCGACGAGGGGACUCCCAGUGCCUACGCUCAGCGUAGGCUGUUCCCGAGCCUAGAAAGCUCGGGGAGUAAGGGCUGGGUAAGACGGGUGCCAGCCGCCGCGGUAAUACCCGCAGCCCGAGUGGUGGCCACUAUUAUUGGGCCUAAAGCGUCCGUAGCCGGCCCGGUAAAUGCCUGGGUAAAUCGUGAGGCCUAACCUCACGAAUUCCGGGUAGACUGCCGGGCUAGGGACCGGAGGAGGGAGAGGGUACUCCAGGGGUAGGGGUGAAAUCCUGUAAUCCCUGGAGGACCACCGGUGGCGAAGGCGCUCUCCUAGGACGGGUCCGACGGUGAGGGACGAAAGCCAGGGGAGCGAACCGGAUUAGAUACCCCCGUAGU